rnacentral:rRNA from 1 species
CCUGCGGAGGGAUCAUUACCGAGUUAUACAACUCCCAAACCCACUGUGAACCUUACCUCAGUUGCCUCGGCGGGAACGCCCCGGCCGCCUGCCCCCGCGCCGGCGCCGGACCCAGGCGCCCGCCGCAGGGACCCCAAACUCUCUUGCAUUACGCCCAGCGGGCGGAAUUUCUUCUCUGAGUUGCACAAGCAAAAACAAAUGAAUCAAAACUUUCAACAACGGAUCUCUUGGUUCUGGCAUCGAUGAAGAACGCAGCGAAAUGCGAUAAGUAAUGUGAAUUGCAGAAUUCAGUGAAUCAUCGAAUCUUUGAACGCACAUUGCGCCCGCCAGCAUUCUGGCGGGCAUGCCUGUUCGAGCGUCAUUUCAACCCUCGAGCCCCCCCCGGGGGCCUCGGUGUUGGGGGACGGCACACCAGCCGCCCCCGAAAUGCAGUGGCGACCCCGCCGCAGCCUCCCCUGCGUAGUAGCACACACCUCGCACCGGAGCGCGGAGGCGGUCACGCCGUAAAACGCCCAACUUUCUUAGAGUUGACCUCGGAUCAGGUAGGAAUACCCGCUGAACUUAAGCAUAUCAAUAAG